AUACCACUUUGAUCUCUUUCUUUUUCUCCUUCAUUUUUUUAUUAAUUAUUUUUUUAUUUAUCUUUUAAUACUCCACCUCAAUUCCAUUCAUCCAUCUCUUAUAUUUAAGAAUGCGGAUUUUCUGCUGUAUACCGUUUGGUGUGGUGCACAGCACACACCAUCCAUCGCAUGAUGGAUGGUCGCAUGGAGCCUCUAUGUGAUGCACGAUGCGCAUGGCCGCGUA
rnacentral:lncRNA from 1 species